AACCUAGCACACCUGCGGUGUGUACCUGCGGAAGGAUCAUUACAUGAUUUAACAGGGAGUGGAGGCUUCGGCCAAAGCUCUGUCUGAACCCAUGUCUUUUGCGUACUUCUUGUUUCCUCGGUGGGCUUGCCCGCCGAUAGGACAACCUUAAACUCUUUGCAAUUGCAAUCAGCGUCUGAAAAACUAUAAUAGUUACAACUUUCAACAACGGAUCU
rnacentral:misc_RNA from 1 species